CCCUUAGAUGUUCUGGGCCGCACGCGCGCUACACUGAUGCAUUCAACGAGCCUAUCCUUGACCGACAGGUCCGGGUAAUCUUUGAAUCUGCAUCGUGACGGGGAUAGAUUAUUGCAAUUAUUAAUCCUCAACGAGGAAUGCCUAGUAGGCGCAAGUCAUCAGCUUGCGUCGAUUACGUCCCUGCCCUUUGUACACACCGCCCAUCGCUCCUACCGAUUGGGUGUGCUGGUGAAAUGUUCGGAUCGGCCGUUUGUCGCGGUUUCCGCGUCAUGUGGCUGAGAAGUUCAUUAAACCCUCCCACCUAGAGGAAGGAGAAGUCGUAACA
rnacentral:rRNA from 1 species